GCAUGCCUUAACUGCAAGUCGAACGGUAACAGGUCUUCGGAUGCUGACGAGUGGCGAACGGGUGAGUAAUACAUCGGAACGUGCCUAGUAGUGGGGGAUAACUACUCGAAAGAGUGGCUAAUACCGCAUGAGAUCUACGGAUGAAAGCAGGGGAUCGCAAGACCUUGUGCUACUAGAGCGGCCGAUGGCAGAUUAGGUAGUUGGUGGGAUAAAAGCUUACCAAGCCGACGAUCUGUAGCUGGUCUGAGAGGACGAUCAGCCACACUGGGACUGAGACACGGCCCAGACUCCUACGGGAGGCAGCAGUGGGGAAUUUUGGACAAUGGGCGCAAGCCUGAUCCAGCAAUGCCGCGUGCAGGAUGAAGGCCUUCGGGUUGUAAACUGCUUUUGUACGGAACGAAAAGCCCUGGGUUAAUACCCUGGGGUCAUGACGGUACCGUAAGAAUAAGCACCGGCUAACUACGUGCCAGCAGCCGCGGUAAU
rnacentral:rRNA from 1 species